rnacentral:rRNA from 1 species
AAUGACUCUCGGCAACGGAUAUCUCGGCUCUUACAUCGAUGAAGAACGUAGCAAAAUGCGAUACUUGGUGUGAAUUGCAGAAUCCCGUGAACCAUCGAGUCUUUGAACGCAAGUUGCGCCCGAAUCCAUUUGGUUGAGGGCACGUCUGCCUGGGUGUCACGUA